UUGAAAUUGGACCUGGCUAUGUGACUUGCCUUGGUCAACACAACAUGAAAGGGAGCAGAAUCUGUAAAUGUGUUGCCACUUGUUGCCGUUUGUCUCAGCCAAUUGUGCUUCUGCCAUCUGCCCCAAGUACUUUCUGCCUCAGAACGAUGAGGGAAUGAACAGACCUGAAUUUGACAUGCACCCUGGAGGUCAGACAGAGAAGUGCCAAGAUACUUAUUUUUGUGAGUUACCUGUCAGUCAAGCUAUGAGUGGAAGAAGUCUGAGGGUCUCAUCAGAAGCAGAUGCUGAUGUCAUGCUUUUUGUACAGCCUGCAGAACUGUGAGCCAAAUAAACUUAUUUAUUUCUUUUACAAAUUACCCAGCCUCAAGUAUCCCUUUAUAGCAACACAAAAAUGGACUAAGACCCAGUGGGUAAAAAGAGUGGUACUAUAUUCACAUGGACAUUGAUC
rnacentral:lncRNA from 10 species